rnacentral:rRNA from 1 species
CCUGACUGCUAUCGGAUUGAUACUAAGCCAUGCUAGUCUUUGUAGUAAUACAAGGCAUACGGCUCAGUAACGCGUAGUCAACCUACCCUAUGGACGGGGAUAAUCUCGGGAAACUGAGCAUAAUACUCGGCAGACCACUUAUCCUGGAAUGGUUAGUGGUUAAAAUGAUUCGUCGCCAUAGGAUGGGACUGCGGCCUAUCAGCUUGUUGGUGAGGUAAUGGCCCACCAAGGCGAUUACAGGUACGGGCUCUGAGAGGAGAGGCCCGGAGAUGGGUACUGAGACAAGGACCCAGGCCCUAUGGGGCGCAGCAGGCGAGAAAACUUUGCAAUGUGCGAAAGCACGACAAGGUUAAUCCGAGUGAUUUCUGCUAAAGGAAUCUUUUGUUAGUUCUAAAAAUACUAGUGAAUAAGGGGUGGGCAAGUUCUGGUGUCAGCCGCCGCGGUAAAACCAGCACCUCAAGUGGUCAGGAGGAUUAUUGGGCCUAAAGCAUCCGUAGCCUGUUCUAUAAGUUUGCGGUUAAAUCUAUACGCUCAACGUAUAGGCUGCCGUAAAUACUGUAGAACUAGGGAGUGGGAGAGGUAGACGGUACUCGAUAGGAAGGGGUAAAAUCCUUUGAUCUAUUGAUGACCACCUGUGGCGAAGGCGGUCUACCAGAACACGUUCGACGGUGAGGGAUGAAAGCUGGGGGAGCAAACCGGAUUAGAUACCCGGGUAGUCCCAGCUGUAAACGAUGCAGACUCGAUGAUGCAAUGGCAUAGAGCUAUUGCAGUAUCGCAGGGAAGCCGUUAAGUCUGCCGCCUGGGAAGUACGUACGCAAGUAUGAAACUUAAAGGAAUUGGCGGGGAAGGACCACAAGGGGUGAAGCCUGCGGUUC